rnacentral:rRNA from 1 species
CUGCUAAUACCGGAUGAUAUCGCGAGAUCAAAGAUUUAUCGCCUGAGGAUGAGCCCGCGUAGGAUUAGCUAGUUGGUGUGGUAAAGGCGCACCAAGGCGACGAUCCUUAGCUGGUCUGAGAGGAUGAUCAGCCACACUGGGACUGAGACACGGCCCAGACUCCUACGGGAGGCAGCAGUGGGGAAUAUUGGACAAUGGGCGAAAGCCUGAUCCAGCAAUGCCGCGUGAGUGAUGAAGGCCUUAGGGUUGUAAAGCUCUUUUACCCGGGAUGAUAAUGACAGUACCGGGAGAAUAAGCUCCGGCUAACUCCGUGCCAGCAGCCGCGGUAAUACGGAGGGAGCUAGCGUUAUUCGGAAUUACUGGGCGUAAAGCGCACGUAGGCGGCUUUGUAAGUUAGAGGUGAAAGCCUGGAGCUCAACUCCAGAAUUGCCUUUAAGACUGCAUCGCUUGAAUCCAGGAGAGGUGAGUGGAAUUCCGAGUGUAGAGGUGAA